rnacentral:lncRNA from 1 species
CUUGAUUUGCACUAAAUCAUAAGGUAGUUAUGUGAUGCAUACGAGAGCAAUCUAUGAGACUAUUCCUAUGAUUAUGUGACAUCGGAUCAGUGUGAGAGGUUAUGUGAAAUCAUACGAUAUAUCUAUGUCACAUGAGCUCACUUUUAUGUGAAAGUUUAUCUGCCUAUUGUAUAUGAUGAGAUGUGCACAUUCGGUAAAGGGAUGGUAUGCCCGAAGGAAUAGUGAAAUAAAAAUACGAACAACUAUGUUAUAAUUUGAUUGUUAUCUGUUGACACUGCUUAAAACUUACUAAGCAUUGUAAUGCUUACUCCGUUUACUCUGUUUCCUCUGUUUUAUAGAUCUCAUUGCGAAGCUACAGGCUCGGGGAUCGUCAGCAACUCGUCACACUAUCACUAUCCACUGUUUGGUACUGCUACGUUUUGGAUUAUCUUAUGGCAUGUAUAGAAUAGACUAGUGGCGG